rnacentral:rRNA from 2 species
AUAUCAAUAAGCGGAGGAAAAGAAACCAACAGGGAUUGCCUUAGUAACGGCGAGUGAAGCGGCAAAAGCUCAAAUUUGAAAUCUGGCACCUUCGGUGUCCGAGUUGUAAUUUGAAGAAGGUAACUUUGGAGUCAGCUCUUGUCUAUGUUCCUUGGAACAGGACGUCACAGAGGGUGAGAAUCCCGUGCGAUGAGAUGUCUGAUUCUAUGUAAAGUGCUUUCGAAGAGUCGAGUUGUUUGGGAAUGCAGCUCUAAGUGGGUGGUAAAUUCCAUCUAAAGCUAAAUAUUGGCGAGAGACCGAUAGCGAACAAGUACAGUGAUGGAAAGAUGAAAAGAACUUUGAAAAGAGAGUGAAAAAGUACGUGAAAUUGUUGAAAGGGAAGGGUUUGAGAUCAGACUUGGUAUUUUGUAUGUCUUGCUUUCGGGUGGGGCCUCUACAGUUUACUGGGCCAGCAUCGGUUUGGACGGUAGGAUAAUGACAUUGGAAUGUGGCACCACUUCGGUGGUGUGUUAUAGACUUUGUUGAUACUGCCUGUCUAGACCGAGGACUGCGUCUUUGACUAGGAUGCUGGC